rnacentral:tRNA from 1 species
GCCACGGAUGUCUAGCGGUUAGAACGCUGGCCUUGUAAUCCUGGGGUCUCGGGUUCGAUUCCCGGCGGUGCCC